CCUCCACUUUCAUUUUCACCCGAGCCUCUAGCCCAAGAGCAAGAGACCACCGGCAGCGAUUUCACCAAACUCUGACGGCAUGGAGCCAACUGGCGAUAAGAAUAAGUCGAAUCCUUUCUUCUCAUUCUCCUUCCAACCCUGUUAUUCCUCUUUGUUAAUAUCUUCUUCCUUUCUCUUCUUCUAGCAAUAGACCACCGGCGGCGAUUUCACUGUUUCACCAAACUCCAACGGCAUGUAGUCAAUCGGCAAAGACCACCGGUAGUGAUUUCAUUGUUUCGCCAAGCUUCGACAGUGAUUGCCUUCCAACUCUGAUGGCAUGUCACCUAGCGGGAGGUUGGUGCCGUCAAGCUCAAACAAACAAUUGUGCCUCUGAGUUUUUGCAGCUGUGUUGGCUACGAUGAACCCAAACGAUAUUGAUUAGAAAACGGAAAGAACCUGAUUUCCAUUGAAGGGGUACAAGUGUUUGUUGUUUAUAUGUUCCAAGCGAAGAAGUUGAUGCCCUUGAAGUCAUGGAAACAUAUGGAGAUAUCAUUGGAGCCUUUUAAUUUCGUGUUUCUUACAGAUUCUCUAAUGAAGUUGUUAUCGAGCAAAAUCCAAUUUGCUCCUAUUGUAUUAGUUGACAUGCUUAAUACCAGCGGUGCCAUUCAAUCAUUGGAGUAGGAUGAUGAGACAAGUUCGGUUCGAAUUGGAGUGAGGGGAACCAGAGAGAUGAGGUUGUUUGCAUAAAAACAAAACCAAAAGUUUGUUUAAUUGAUGGUGAAGAGGUUCCAUUUACGUUCGAUGAACACAUGGUUGUGGUUCAAGUUCCAUGGCCUACUUCUGUGUAAUCUAUAUUUGAUUACCAGUUUUAGAAUCUGGGAUGGGGAUCAGAUCCACAAAAAUGGAUGUUUUUUGGAAAGUCACAAAAAAUGGAUUGAUGUUUGAUUUUUAUUGAACUAAAUUUAUGUAAUGUAAAUAGUAGUAAAGUGUGAUAUCGAGAAAACUUGGUAACUAAUGUAAAUGAAGAACUACUAUAAUAAGCAUGGAAACCUUUCUUGA